rnacentral:rRNA from 1 species
CUGGUCUCGCUGAUCCCUCCCUCUUGACGAACUGUGAUGCCAUUAAUUUGGUGUCGCAGGGAAUCAGGACUGUUACUUUGAAAAAAUUAGAGUGUUUAAAGCAGGCUUUCGCUUGAAUACAUUAGCAUGGAAUAAUGAAAUAGGACGUUUGAUCCUAUUUUGUUGGUUUCUAGGAUUGACGUAAUGAUUAAUAGGGAUAGUUGGGGGCAUUAGUAUUCAAUUGUCAGAGGUGAAAUUCUUGGAUUUAUUGAAGACUAACUACUGCGAAAGCAUUUGCCAAGGAUGGUUUCAUUAAUCAAGAACGAAAGUUAGGGGAUCGAAGACGAUCAGAUACCGUCGUAGUCUUAACCAUAAACUAUGCCGACUAGGGAUCGGAUGAUGUUAAUUUUUUAAUGACUCAUUCGGCGCCUUACG